AGGAAAGGCAGGGAUGGGGGAAGUAGGUCACUGGGGUCUAUGUCUGUGAUUGGCCCCUUCUGGUCAGCAGUGGCUUUACUCCUUCUCUGCUUCCCAGUUUCUGAGAGCUAAGUAGCUUUCCUCUGACACAUCACACAUUUCUGCCAUUAUGUUUCUGCCUUGGAGCCAGCACACCAUGGACUGAAUUCUCUGAAAUCAUGAGCCAAAACAAACUUCUCCUCCUCCAAAUUGUUCUUGUCAAGUAUUUUAGUCACAGUCACAAAAAGCUGAAUAACACACUUACUAGUCUAACCUGGAUAUUAUUUAAUCUGUCUUUGUUACAUAGCUCAUCAUUGUAUAUUUACAUAUUAAAUAUUCACUAUUUAUCUCUUGCCAAAAGGUUCUCAUUUAAAUGUUAUUUACCUGAAUUUUAGAGGGCAGACAAAGAGAAAUAUGGGUUUUGAUGAUGUGAGGAUUUGCCAGUAGCUUCAGGCAUUAUUCCUUUAAUGCCCUGCAGCUGAGAAGACUAGAGUUUGCCUCUCCUGCCAACUCCCUUAUCGCCAGAAUUUUGGAACCAGCAGUGGCUUACCUGAUAAUUCCCACCUCAUUCCAUUCAGUGGUAAUGUAGAGCUCUCGUUUCCUGCUGCUACAUCUCAGGUGGCUCUUUCUCUUGACCCAACUCUAAUUAUCCAUCUUCUAUUAAACCUCACUGUUCAAUACUCAUUCCUUCUUCCCAUUUAUAUCAUCAGCUAAAUAUAUUUUUAUAAUCUUUGUAAAUGGCAAAAGGAAAUAACUACUUCUUCUGAGAGACUGUUCCAAGUUUUUUCUGAUUUGAGCUACUCUUCAUAUAGAAAAUAACAUUUUCUUUUUCUUCCCUUUAGGCUUAUUUUAUUACUUGGAUAUAUAACCCCACCCCCUAGCUUUGGCAAAAACCAUACAUAGAAGCGCCUUUUCGAGGAUCAAAUAUCUCCUGUGAGAUAAUAAAAUUGCUAUUGGCUCAUUGAUGUUGACAGGCAAACUUAUGGGUAAAAUUUUGUAGAAGUGAAUAUCCCAAUAAGGAAAUAAUCCAAAUCAUGCUAAAAGGUAAGACCUUUGUCCUUCAAAUAUUUGAAAUUUAAAGAAACUGUUUAGUUUUUUUUUCCCUCCUCUACUGGUCAACUAUUUAUAAGCAUCGCAUACACAGAAAACAUA